rnacentral:lncRNA from 1 species
AGGAGGGAGGAAAAUAAAGGGAGAAACCCAGGGGAGAAGGCUAGGAACCAGUGGAGAGAACACUGAAAACCAGAGAGGAAAACAAGGGAUUUUGGGACUGAAAAGAGAGAAACAGGGAGGGACCGGAGACAAAAACCCAGGAGCAAAACCAGAGAAAGAAAGCCAUGCACGGCAGGGAGAGAGACUAAAACCAAAGGAAAACCAGAGAAAAAAGGCAGAACCGAGGGAGGAAAAA